UACGUAGGGGGCAAGCGUUGUCCGGAGUUACUGGGCGUAAAGCGCACGCAGGCGGUCGCGUAAGAGUGCGGGGACAGUGGGCGGCUUAACUGCCCAAGGGUCGCACAGACUGCGUGACUGGAGGGCCAGAGAGGGACCUGGAAUUCCGGGUGGAGCGGUGAAUGCGUAGAGAUCCGGAGGAACACCAAGUGGCGAAGGCAGGGUCCUGGCUGGCACCUGACGCUCAUGUGCGAAAGCCAGGGGAGCGAACGGG
rnacentral:rRNA from 1 species